GUUUGAUCCUGGCUCAGGAUGAACGCUGGCGGUAUGCAUUAUACAUGCAAGUCAUACGGGGAUCUUCGGAUUCUAGUGGCGGACGGGUGAGUAACACGUGAGAAUUUGCCCUUAGGAGAAGGAUAACAGAUGGAAACGUCUGCUAAUACUUCAUAUUGCUGCGAAGUGAAAUGGGAAACCGCCUAAGGAAAAGCUCGCGCCUGAUUAGCUAGUUGGUAGGGUAAUAGCCUACCAAGGCUACGAUCAGUAGCUGGUUUGAGAGGAUGAUCAGCAACACUGGGACUGAGACACGGCCC
rnacentral:rRNA from 1 species